AACGUAGGAGACAAACGUUAUCCGGAGUUACUGGGCGUAAAGGGCGUGCAGGUGGUCUGUUAAGUCUGGCGUGAAAGCUCCUGGCUAAACCGGGAGAGGUCGUUGGAUACUGGCGGACUAGAGGACGGUAGAGGCGUGUGGAAUUCCGGGUGUAGUGGUGAAAUGCGUAGAUAUUGGGAAGAACACCUGAGGCGAAGGCGGGCUACUGGGCUGAUACUGACGCUGAUGCGCGAAAGCCAGGGGAGCAAACGGG
rnacentral:rRNA from 1 species